GAAAUGCGAUAAGUAGUGUGAAUUGCAGAAUUCAGUGAAUCAUCGAAUCUUUGAACGCACAUUGCGCCCCUUGGUAUUCCAUGGGGCAUGCCUGUUCGAGCGUCAUUUGUACCCUCAAGCUCUGCUUGGUGUUGGGUGUUUGUCCCGUCUCCGCGCGUGGACUCGCCCCAAAGUGAUUGGCAGCCGGCGUACUGGUCCCGGAGCGCAGCACAUGUCGCGCAAACGGGUGCCUUGGUACGGCGGCGUCCAUAAGCCCCUCUCUCACGCUCUUGACCUCGGAUCAGGUAGGGAUACCCGCUGAACUUAAGC
rnacentral:misc_RNA from 1 species